CCUACGGGAGGCUGCAGUGAGGAAUAUUGGUCAAUGGGCGCGAGCCUGAACCAGCCAAGUAGCGUGAAGGAUGACUGCCCUACGGGUUGUAAACUUCUUUUAUAAAGGAAUAAAACGAGGCACGUGUGCCUUUUUGCAUGUACUUUAUGAAUAAGGAUCGACUACCUCCGUGCCAGCAGCCGCGGUAAUACGGAGGGUCCGAGCGUUAUCCGGAUUUAUUGGGUUUAAAGGGAGCGUAGGUGGGUGUUUGAGUCAGUUGUGAAAGUUUGGGGCUCAACCGUAAAAUUGCAAUUGAUACUGGCAGUCUUGAGUACAGUUGAGGUAGGCGGAAUUCGUGGUGUAGCGGUGAAAUGCGUAGAUAUCACGAAGAACCCCGAUUGCGAAGGCAGCUUACUAAACUGUGACUGACAUUGAGGCUCGAAAGUGUGGGUAUCAAACAGGAUUAGAUACCCGUGUAGUC
rnacentral:rRNA from 1 species